GGGAGCUCAGCAGUGGAGCAUCUGCCUUAGGCCCAGGGCCUGAUCCUGGAGACCCGGGAUGGAGUCCCACGUCGGGCUCCCUGCAUGGAGCCUGCUUCUCCCUCCUCCUGUGUCUCUGCCUCCCUCUCUCUGUGUCUCCCAUGAAUAAAGAAAUAAAAUAUUUAAAAUAAAAAAAUAAAGACUGCCUAUUCUAAGGCCCCUCCUGGAGGAAAUUCAAACCCUGGGCCUUCUUCAGGCAGGGCCACUCAGGUGGACUCAUACUUUGUUUCGGCUGAAAAAAGAAAAUCCUGCAAAGAAAACUAAUAGAACAAUCUGUUCUGCCAUUGUUGGGUCUCUGUUCUAGCCCAGGCAUGGGAACUGUCAGAACUGGAGUUGCUAAAUAGAGCCCUAUAAACUUUUUCUGAUAGUGCGUAGUAAAAUGUAUCACAAUUUACACGAUUCACUUCAGAGAACCAGAAGUCAGAGAUGAUCACACUGGUUACAGAAAAUGUUUCCUUGUCUUAGGACGGCGAAUGAAAUUAUAAAUUACAAAUCGCACCCUUGCAUGUUAUAGUGGUUGUGUAAGGGCCAGGCCCUACCCCUACCUCCCUGACACUCCCCAACCCUUCUCUUUGUUCUGCCCAUAGGAGGUAGAAAGGACUUUUCAAGUAGUCUCCCCUCCCAAGCAGGCCAUUUCGAAUUGUAACACCCCAGUCCUAAUGCUCACUACUCACAUAUUUUUGUGUUUAUGUUACAUGUUUAUCUUCCCAAUGAGGGGAAGGAUCUUUGUCCUGCUAAAUCAGCACAUAGUAGGUGCUCAGUAAGUAUUUGCUUAAAUGCUCCCCCAUUUACCUUUGUCUUUGUUGUAAGAUUGUAUCUUGCAAGUGACUUGGAACUGACAAUAGUUUCAGUAACCUGUAGCUCCAUAAAUAGUUGACUAGGUUUUCCCAAGGGGGAGAGGAGUGCUACCUGCAGCUACCCUUUGUUCUCACCUUGGAUCGGUUUUCAUUCUGAGAAUUGAGAAAAUGAACACUACUGUAGUCACAAUUACCUUGUUUUCCAGAAUAAUUGGAAUAUGUUUCUCCUGAGAUGGUGACAUCCUUUGGGGAAUAAACUGCUGUCUAGGUAGUUGAAAGGCAAAGCAAGGAAAGGUCCCUGGGAACGCGUUGCCUGACGAGGAUUGAUACCCAGCAACCUCUGAAGGUCUGGCGACCUGACCAUUGUCUUCAAACAGCCAUCUUCUCACCCCUAAUGCUCCCGAUGUCCUUCCUACCCACCCCACCCCCAACAAAAGCCCUCCUGGAGCUUCCCAUCACCAAGACUAAAAUCCAAAAUGGUCUUGUGAACUAUGAAGCCACAGGUGAUUGGGCCCCUGAGCACUCCUGGCAGGGCGCACACCUUACCAGGCCUGCCUCUGCCUACUGCUAGAACCUGCCAAACCAGCUCCUCCUCAGGGCCUCUGUGCUGCUGUUCCCUCCUCUAGUCCUGGAGAUAAGCACCUACCUGACUCACUGCUUUUAGGCCUCAGGUGUCUCUUGGGUAGUAUCUACCCUGACUGUGCCGUUUAAAUUAAGUCCCUCUCCCCGCCAGCCUAGCAUUCAUCUCCCCUUCCCCCUUUGUUUUUCUUUUUUUUUAAUUUAUUUAUUUAUGAUAGUGACACACAGAGAGAGAGAGAGGCAGAGACAUAGGCAGAGGGAGAAGCAGGCUCCAUGCACCGGAAGCCCAACGGCACGAUCCUGGAUGGCACCUGCCUUUGGCCCAGGGCACGACUCUGGGAUCGAGUCCUAUGUUGGGCUCCCUGCAUGGAGCCUGCUUCUCCUUCCGCCUGUAUCUCUGCCCCUCUCUCUCUCUCUUUCUGUCUAUCAUAAAUAAAUAAAUAAAAUCUUUAAAAAUAAAAAAAAAUAAAAGGAUGAGUACAAAAGAUAUAUGUAUAAAAUAUCUCAAUACUUUUUACACUGAUUAAAUGCUGAAAUGACAGUAUUUUGAAUAUAUUAAGUAGAAUGUGUUAUUAAAAUUAAUUUCAUCUGCUCUGCUUUUUAGGCUUUUUAAGAUUUUAUUUAUUCAUGAGAGACACAGAAACAGAGACACAGGCAGAGGGAGAAGUAGACUCCCUGCAGGAGCGCGAUGCAGGACUCGAUCCCAGGACCCAGGGAUUACGACCUGAGCCAAAGGCAGAUGCUCAACCACUGAGCCACCCAGGGAUCCCUCUUUUUAGCCUUUUUAAAGUGGCUACUAGAAAAAGCAAGUUUGUGACCCGUAUUAUAUUUCUAUCAGUACUGAUACAGAAGUACAGUAAAUAUUUAUCAAAGGAAAAGACUUUUUAAAGGCUUACUGAAAGAACUGCUCUAUUAAGGCACAUAAAGACACAGAAGAACCUUAAAUACAUAUGACUAAGAGAAAGGAGCCAGUCUGGAAAGUCCACGUACCAUAUGGUGUCCUGGAAAAGGCAACAGUGUCGCAGUAGGUGGUUGCCAAGGGCUUACAGGGCGCAACUGGGAAUAAUAGGAGUGGAAUGCGGGGGAAGUUUUAGGGGAUUUGAAAUGAUUCUAAUACUAUAAUUGUGGGUACAUAUUACAUAUUUGUCAAAACCCAUGGAAGUGUACAAGACAGGGGCCCCCAGGGGGGCUCAGCGGUUUAGCGUCUACCUUUGGCUUAGGGCGUGGUCCUGGGGUCCUGGGAUCGAGUCCCACAUCGAGCCCCCUGCAGGGAGCCUGCCUCUCCCUCUGCCUGUGUCUCUGCCUCUCUGUGUCUCUCAUGAAUAAAAAAAAUCUUAAAAAAAAAAGUGUACAAG
rnacentral:lncRNA from 1 species